CGGAGGACACCGCAGCUGGAGGAGGGUUUCCGCCGGUUGUGCGGGGACCGCGGCUCAGUAGUGUGGGUGGACGAGGACAGCGGGUGGAACUGGUCCUUCUGUGACUUUGCAGCCCCGGCUUGGUGAUAAUUUUUGUGCAGGCUUCUUGACAUGGAAAGCAGAGCUCCCCAGCACAGACCUCCUGCAGCCCCCGCCAGCUCCCGGGCUCCAUCCCUCACCAUCAGUUGCUGAUUGGCGCCCCCUGCGUGCACAACGGAGGCUGGCUGCACCUGGAGGUUCCCAGCAAUUCCAGGCCGGCUCCAGCCUAGCCAAAGCAGCUAACUUCUCUGCUGUCUCGUGGGCUGAACCUCACCGUUUCCCAAGAGGAGCUGCCUGGCAAUGGUAGCAGGUGAAGGUCAUGGUGAAGAAGAUGCAGAUAUUGGCAAUUUGGAGCAUUAGAUGAACUAAUUACAACGUUAACCUAAGGAACAGUGCAACAGAAAAUGGGCUAAGACAUGGAGCAAGGGGCAGAACGACUCUUGAAGAUGCUGAGCAACUUCUGGAGGCCAUCUGUUGAGAUGAGAACCUGUGAAGAUGGAAGGAACCUAGAUGUUUGAGUCAUGGGGUGGAGAAGAGACCAUGUAAACCUACAUUGAAAUUUGUGUGACUCCCUCCCCCUCAACCAGCUUAGAAGUCGGGUGGAAGAGGAAGCUGGAUGGAACAACAUGAGCCCUGGUCAGGGCAGACUUAAGCCAGGAGAUGAAGUGCCAUAUACAGAGAAAACCUCAGUGGGAUCCCAGAUGGAGCACAAUUCCUG
rnacentral:lncRNA from 1 species